AAUAUCAUAAAGUUUAUGUCUGUAUUAAAUAUAUAGGUAGUAGAUUUUAUUAUGAACAGUCAUGAUAUUAAAAGCAUUUUUAUGCCAAUCAAAAAUCUAAGAUGACUGCUAUCUUAACAUAAAUACCUAAAGAACUUUUUGAGUAGUUUGUAUGUUUGUAACAUUUUACUGUUCAAUGGUAUGUCAUAUAAACACAUACUGGUUUGAAACAGACUCCAUUCCUCAAUGUACAGAACAUGCAUUAUUUUUCUGUGAACCUAAUAUAUUUCAAUUUAUUUUUGUGUAAGAACUAUAGCAGAUUUUUUUUUGAUUGUAUGAAGAGGGCAUAAAAUUCAAUAUUUUCAUGCUUCAUCUACAUAGAUAGUAACAUUCUUCACAGCCUUGAAUGUAACUUUAGGUUAAUUUCCUCUGAAGCUCUUUUGUUUCAGCUAAAAGAAUGGCAUUUUUUCAUACUGAUAUUGAUUCAAGUAAUGUAAUGAUCUUGCCUGGAACAUGAUAUAUAUUUUGCUUUGUUUUAACUUUGACUGUGAUAUCGUUUAUCGAAAGUUGUAUAUACAUUUUUAACAUUUUAUGCAUUGGCUAUUUCCAGGACAUGUUAGUACUAUUUACAUUCUAUAUUUGAUAUGUUUAUCAAGUAUCGGCAAGUGCUUUGCCUAGAACAAGAGAGAGAAUUAUUUUUCAAAAGAGCAAACAUUUUUUGUAAAUUGUUGAAACUAUCUCCUCACUGAAUUUUCUUUAUUUUUUACUUCUAUUUUUGAGAGGACACAUUAGGGAAUGAACAUUUUGGUGAAAAAGCAUGAAAGGAUAUUCCUCCCCUGUAGUUCUUUUCUUGUAAAAAAAAAUCAUUCAGUUCAAUUUAUUAUGGGGUUUACUGAUGUGUUAACAGAGGGUAAAGAAUCACUGUUAUUACUUUAUGAACUUUUAAGGGUACAUAAUUCUAUCUGUCAGAGUAAUCAUAUAAAUGGUAUAUAGAGGUUUCCUCCAUUUGGAUAUUUCAGUUUUAUGGUACAACUUUUUCAGUCAUAAAGUUGAACAUCUGCUAUCUUGCUCUGUC
rnacentral:lncRNA from 1 species